UACGUAGGGUGCAAGCGUUAAUCGGAAUUACUGGGCGUAAAGCGUGCGCAGGCGGUUAUGUAAGACAGAUGUGAAAUGCCCGGGCUUAACCUGGGAACUGCAUUUGUGACUGCAUGGCUAGAGUUUGGCAGAGGGGGGGUAGAAUUCCACGUGUAGCAGUGAAAUGCGUAGAUAUUAGGAAGAACACCGGUGGCGAAGGCGGCCCACUGGUCCGGUACUGACGGCUGAGGUGCGAAAGCAUGGGGAGCGAACAGGGA
rnacentral:rRNA from 1 species